rnacentral:rRNA from 1 species
AGUGAACGCUGGCGGUAGGCCUAACACACGCAAGUCGAACGGCAGCACAGUAAGAGCUUGCUCUUACGGGUGGCGAGUGGCGGACGGGUGAGGAAUACAUCGGAAUCUACUUUUUCGUGGGGGAUAACGUAGGGAAACUUACGCUAAUACCGCAUACGACCUACGGGUUAAAGCAGGGGAUCUUCGGACCUUGCGCGAUUGAAUGAGCCGAUGUCGGAUUAGCUAGUUGGCGGGGUAAAGGCCCAACAAGGCGACGAUCCGUAGCUGGUCUGAGAGGAUGAUCAGCCACACUGGAACUGAGACACGGUCCAGACUCCUACGGGAGGCAGCAGUGGGGAAUAUUGGACAAUGGGCGCAAGCCUGAUCCAGCCAUACCGCGUGGGUGAAGAAGGCCUUCGGGUUGUAAAGCCCUUUUGUUGGGAAAGAAAAGCAGCAGGUUAAUACCCCGCUGUUCUGACGGUACCCAAAGAAUAAGCACCGGCUAACUUCGUG